UACUCCCUUUGUAAGCAGCUCUUUGCAGGAAACCGCCCUCAGCAGGAAGCCCCUUUUCUUGUCACUUUAGCAAAGCUGUAUUGUAACUAACUUUGAAACUAGGCACCCCCAUGCUCUACCUAUCUCCAGCCCAAGCACACUUUUCAAAUCUUUUAAUCACACAAUAUCUUGCCUAACUUGUCGGUUCUUUCAGUAGAUCAAAGAAGUAGAAAUGAAGAAUAAGUAAUUAACAGAUGACCAGAUCUCUUCUCUAGCUUCCACUUCAGUAAUCUCCAGAUAAACUGUGUGAACAAGAUAACAUCUAGAAGAAGAUCACAAGUUGAUGAGCCUGCAUACAAGCCUGCAGACAGAUGACUCUGACCCUCUGUCUCAAUGAUUAACCGAGAUUACUUCCCUGUUUCCCUUUAAAAGCUUCCAUGACUGAGCAGAAUCUUUGGAGGUGGUUUUUGGGGGACAUUAUGUUCACCAUCUCCCCAGAUUGUCAGCAUUCUGUUAAAGGCACCUUUACUUUCUACCAACAUCUCACAACUCAAUCCUGACCACAUUUCAAGCCACAUUUCAAGUGCUCAAGAGGGACCUGUGGCUUGUGGUCACUGUAUUGGACGUUGCAGCCCUGGUUGUGCAGACAGUGCAAGAGAGAGUAAAGAGACAUGUACAAUAUUUCAUCUGUUUAAACAAUGUGCUCCACUGAAUGUCACCUUCUCACAGAAAGCCUCUCACUGCUGUAGCCUCUCCCGCU